UUCUUUAUGACUACGAGCCUCGUUCCCGGACUCGUGUUCAGCAGACCGAAGGCCUGUGGCGGCUGAGGAGCUGCUCCUUGAUUCCUUCCUCGAGGUCGUGGUACACAAACUCCGUCUUCGGUACGUAGCCCCUCUUCCUCAUCUCGGAAUCAAGCUUCGAGACCAUUUGUAGAAUCUGUUUGUGCUGAGGGUGGCUCUGAUCUUCCAUCACGAAUUUAUGCAGCGCUCCAUAUAUCUGUAUCGAGCUACACCCGGGCACCUUCUUACUGCCAUGGUCCUUCAUUAGCUUCCGCACUUCCCUGACCUUGUCCCAGUUCUUGGCAGCGGCGUAAAGGUUUGAGACCAAGGCAAGGAUGCCAACAUCCUUUGGUUGCAAUUCAAGGAUCUUUUCUGCUGUACUCUCUCCAAGCUCCAGCUCCUUG
rnacentral:lncRNA from 1 species